rnacentral:rRNA from 1 species
AUACGGAGGAUCCAAGCGUUAUCCGGAUUUAUUGGGUUUAAAGGGAGCGUAGGCCGGAAGUAUAAGCGUGUUGUGAAAAAGUCGAGGCUCAACCUCGGCCUUGCAGCGCGAACUGUUUUUCUUGAGUACGCAGUAGGUAGGCGGAAUUCGUUGUGUAGCGGUGAAAUGCUUAGAUAUGACGAAGAACUCCGAUUGCGAAGGCAGCCUGCCGUAGCGCGACUGACGCUGAUGCUCGAAAGCGUGGGUAUC